UUGCAUGAGAGCUGGGAGUGUUUGGGGGUGGUGCUAGAGCCCCAGGUGCUGCUUUUCUGUUAAGCUGACCACCUGGCUGGCUGAGUGCUCCUUACAGGGACAUGGGGUAUGGGGAUGUAUGGGGUUACAGGGAAAUAAGGUAUGGGGAUGUAUGGGGUUAGUACUUGAUGUUUAAUACCAGGCUGUGUAAGAAGAGGUCUACUGCUGAAAGAAUAAACCCCCUCCCCCCCCCCCCCCCCGCCCCCACCAAAUUUUAAACUUCCUUCUAUUAGUGUCUGUGUGGUGGAAAAAAAAAUGCUGUGGUUCAUAAUGUCCCAGUGCCUGUGAAGGCAAUCAAAUUGUCCUUAAAUAUCAGAGCUUAUGCACUUGGAAAACUUCUCCAGCAUUGGAAAUGAGCCAUCGUGGACAGUAGCAGGGGAUUCUUCUGGAAGCCCUCCAGGCAUGGGCACAGGGUCCCAGCUGGCAGAGGGGUCUUCGUGCAUCGGUGCUGCCUUUAAACAAACAACCACUGCUGUUUUGCUGAUGGCGUGUGCGGAUAGAUCUGUAGCCAGUUUGUGCCGUUUAACAGUUGAAGGAAAAUAAAAAAGGAAACAUUAAAGCUUUUUCCCACCUUGAAACCUGAAGAAAUCCGCCUGCUCCAAACCAGAGAGGCGUGCAUCACUAAUAUCCAGGGGAAAAAG
rnacentral:lncRNA from 1 species